GUGCUCGCUUCUGCAGCGCAUAUGCUAAAAUUAGAACGAUAGAGAUUAGCACGGCCUCAGCGCUAGGACGGCACACAAAUUCGUGAGGCAUUGCAUAUUUUG
ensembl:snRNA U6 U6 spliceosomal RNA